UACGUAGGCAGCGAGCGUUGUUCGGAGUUACUGGGCGUAAAGGGUGUGUAGGCGGUUGUUUAAGUUUGGUGUGAAAUCUCCCGGCUCAACUGGGAGGGUGCGCCGAAUACUGAAUGACUUGCAGUGCGGGAGAGGUGAGUGGAAUUCCUGGUGUAGCGGUGAAAUGCGUAGAUAUCAGGAGGAACACCGGUGGUGUAGACGGCUCACUGGACCGUAACUGACGCUGAGACACGAAAGCGUGGGUAGCAAACAGG
rnacentral:rRNA from 1 species